AUGUUGCUUCCUAAUUGCCCAAGUCUUCACCCUGCUCCACAGUCUCCAUCCUGCUGGAUCCCAUUCUCUUCUGACCAAUGUGGCAUUUUUCUGGUUACCUCAAUCCUUGGAACACUGCAGAGCUUCUUGGAAAAGAUCCAUGAUCAUUCAAGAGUUUGUUUGACCAUCCAAGGAGGAAAGAUCAAAUGGAUGAAAAAUGAAUGUUAAUUGCUCAGACUAUGAUAUGCAUUUAGAUAGAUACCCUAUAGAACUUGUCCACAAUCUGUAAAUCUGGGACAGAAAAUAUAAUUGGAUAGUGAACUUGGACUGGACCUUCUCUAGUGCAGAGUUGGGAGGAAGGAAAACAGUUUAGAACUUAAAAUGUAACCCCCCCAAACUCCAAAUAUAAAAAAAAGAAAAAGAAAUGGACUGAGUUUGAACUAGAAAUAGAGAAUGGCCUGGGUUGCCUUUGGGGACCUAUAAGCUUUCCAAGCUUUCCAGGGAAACAAAAAUCCAUCUUUUUUUAAUGACAUUAUUCUACUAGCAUUGCUGUAUGGCGGAGAAUUGGAAUACAAGAGUGUCCAAAGUAUUAAAGAUGAAUAUAAGACUGUAGGUUAUGUGUGAGUAGGUUGCAACAUAUAACCAAUGAGAGACUUUGAAGAAUAGGAGUAAAUUAUAUCAAACAAAUGGGCCGGUCAUCUGGUGAGAGUAAGAUAGACAAGUUGACAACUAGAGAACUCUACUUUUAUCUUUGAGAUGUCUGGAGAAAUCAAGGAAGGCCUCAAGUGUGCUGAGUGGACAGUUCCCCCACCACCAUGGCAAAUUUAUGGGAGGACAAAGACAAAAUUGAAUGACAUGGACAAAGCAUAGAUAGAUUGAAAUUGAAUGAUGAGACAGAACUCCCAAAUCAAUGAGUUUGAAGACCCUUUGGAGCAUGGGAAUAUUGUUUCAGCUCUAAAUUUCUAUAAUCCUAGAUUGUUAUCCUAUAUACAAUGCACAUAAUGUUUUUUAAUGAAUAAUAACAUAUUUGCAAGGCUUUUUAUACUUGACAAAAUAACUUCCUACAUAUUGUUCCUUCUUUAAAGUGAAACAAUACAAAAUAUUGGGACCUAAAGAGCUUAAGUAAUGCACUUGAAGCCAUGGCACCAGUUAAUGAUAGAACCAGCGCUGAGGCUCAGGUCUCCUGAUUCUUAAUUCUAUGUUUUUUAUACCACUCACCCAGAGAAAU
rnacentral:lncRNA from 1 species